AUGGGGCAGGGCACGCCGGGCGGCAUGGGCAAGCAGGGCGGCGCCCCGGGCGACCGCGGCAAGCCGGGCGGCGACGGCGACAAGAAGGACAAGAAGUUCGAGCCGCCCGCCGCGCCGUCCCGGGUCGGCCGCAAGCAGCGCCGCCAGAAGGGGCCCGAGGCGGCCGCCCGCCUCCCCGGCGUCGCGCCGCUCUCCAAGUGCCGCCUCCGCCUCCUCAAGCUCGACCGCGUCAAGGACUACCUCCUCAUGGAGGAGGAGUUCGUCGCCGCGCAGGAGCGCCUCCGCCCCACCGAGGAGAAGACGGAGGAGGACCGCUCCAAGGUCGACGACCUCCGCGGCACCCCCAUGAGCGUCGGCUCCCUCGAGGAGAUCAUCGACGAGAGCCACGCCAUCGUCUCCUCCUCCGUCGGCCCCGAGUACUACGUCGGCAUACUCUCCUUCGUCGACAAGGACCAGCUCGAGCCAGGCUGCUCCAUCCUCAUGCACAACAAGGUUCUUUCUGUGGUUGGAAUUCUGCAAGACGAAGUUGACCCUAUGGUAUCUGUGAUGAAAGUUGAGAAAGCUCCGCUGGAAUCAUAUGCGGACAUUGGUGGGUUAGAUGCUCAGAUUCAAGAAAUAAAAGAGGCAGUUGAGCUUCCACUAACCCACCCCGAGUUAUAUGAAGACAUUGGAAUAAGGCCACCCAAGGGGGUCAUAUUAUAUGGAGAACCGGGAACAGGGAAAACUCUACUUGCCAAGGCUGUUGCUAACUCCACAUCCGCAACUUUCUUACGUGUCGUUGGAAGUGAACUUAUUCAGAAGUACCUUGGCGACGGUCCAAAACUAGUUAGAGAACUAUUUAGAGUGGCGGAUGAGCUUUCCCCCUCGAUAGUCUUCAUCGAUGAAAUCGAUGCAGUUGGAACAAAGAGGUAUGAUGCUCAUUCAGGAGGGGAGCGUGAGAUUCAGAGAACUAUGUUGGAGCUGCUGAACCAGCUAGAUGGUUUUGACUCGCGUGGAGAUGUUAAAGUUAUUCUAGCUACAAAUCGCAUUGAAAGUCUUGAUCCAGCCUUGCUUCGCCCUGGCCGAAUAGACCGAAAGAUAGAAUUCCCUCUUCCGGACAUUAAGACUAGGCGGCGGAUCUUCCAGAUACACACGGCGAAGAUGACAUUGUCAGAUGAUGUGAACCUGGAAGAGUUUGUCAUGACUAAGGAUGAGUUUUCUGGUGCUGACAUCAAAGCAAUAUGCACCGAAUCUGGCUUGCUUGCUUUGAGAGAGCGUAGGAUGAAGGUGACGCACGCUGACUUCAAGAAGGCAAAGGAGAAGGUCAUGUUCAAGAAGAAGGAAGGCGUGCCGGAGGGGCUUUACAUGUGA
rnacentral:rRNA from 1 species